UACGAAGGGGGCUAGCGUUGUUCGGAAUCACUGGGCGUAAAGCGCACGCAGGCGGAUUGAUAAGUCAGGGGUGAAAUCCCGGAGCUCAACUUCGGAAUUGCCUUUGAUACUGUCUGUCUUCGAGUUCGGGAGAGGUUGGCGGAAUUCCUAGUGUAGAGGUGAAAUUCGUAGAUAUUAGGAAGAACACCAGUGGCGAAGGCGGCCAACUGGCCCGAUACUGACGCUCAUGUGCGAAAGCGUGGGGAGCAAACAGG
rnacentral:rRNA from 2 species